CAAAUAUAUAGAUCAUGCCUAAUAUCUCUAAUCACAUUCAAUCUAUUGUGCUAACUUAUUAUUCUAAUGAACAAUCAAUCUCUCAAUCCACUCAUUCAUCAUAAAUCAAUGAAUAGGUGAUCAAUCUAUUUAUACAUUAAGCCACAAGAUAACACAUAAGGAUUGGGGAAAAAGCUUUUCAUAGAUUGAAUUAGAAAAUCACAAAGUAUCCUUUAGGGUUUCAUUAAAGAUCCCAACAGAAGAGUUUAGUUGCACAUCCUAAUGAAAAUUACAAGAAUGAAAUCAAGAAUGACCGACAAAGAGAAGUUCUUGAUGUCUGCAGCUGUCUUCCCUCCUCUCCUCCUCCAAUCUCCCCUUUCUUUUUCAGAUCCUCUCUUUUUUAUAUAAUUCAAAACCUAAUUUUCUAAUCUGGCACGUCCCACAACCAUGUCGAAUUGACACACGGCUAUGUCUUCCUCGAAAUUAUGUCAAUUUUUAGCUUUUAGACAUGACACGACUUUGUCUCCUAGGCGCACAGCUGUGUCUCGUUUGUCAACAAAAUAGAAACGCUACCUUCUUAACACAUGGCUGUGUGUUAACCUAGUAUAGGGCACACGGCCGUGUCUUUAAGGAACAUGGCCAUGUCUCACUCCUCCUAAGAAAUAAAAAUGUUGGCUCCAUAACACAUAGUUAUGUGUUAUGGCCAUCUCUCCCACAUCUUCAUGUUUCAACCCUUUUUCACCCAAAUCUUGUUCUAACCCAUUCUAAUUUGCUUCCAAGUUCUAAAAUCAUUCUUGAAAAGUGCUAAAGACAAUACAGCAGCAUAUCUGGCAAAUAUUGAUCAAAAUCAACUCAAAUAAAAUAGAAAAAUAUCUAU
rnacentral:lncRNA from 1 species